GUUUUGGUCUAUUUUUUCUUAAACUAUAAGUAGUAGGUCAACUAUAUUUGUUGUAUGGAAGCUUUGGUAGCUGUACAUGUCUGCCUGGCAUGGUUCAUCUGACCUUGACCUCAUUUUCAUGGUUCAUUGGUCUUUGUUUAGCUAUCUUGGUUAAUGUUAAGUUAUGUGACAGUUGUAAUAAAACUUUAUACUUAGGACUAUCAACAUAGUAUCAAUGAUUAAUAAAGAAGGCGAGACAUUUCAGUGUGUGCACUCUUGUUUGAGUAAAUAUUUGAUUUUUCCACUGUUCAGAACUGUAGGUAAGAUGAUUUGGUGUGGACAAGGCUUAGACAAUAAAUGUCAAGCAUAUAAUUAUAACAGCGAUAUAUGUUGGGUUGUAAUUAUAUAAGUCAUCUAAUUGAUGGAUAAAUACAGAUAUUUUUAACGUUGUUUUGUUGCAUCUUUGUAUAAAUUGCAAAAAAAAAACUUUUCUGUAAAUUCAUCUGUAUUUGUGUUUCAUACCUCAGAGAAUGUAGUUAUAGAAUGUGUAUUUUUCCGACUCUUAUAAAGAGGAUUAUAUUUAUUUAGAUGUCUUAUGUAGACAUCAGCUAUCAUGGUUACAUGUUAAGAGUCAGUAGAAAUGUGUUUUAUUCAUGUGUUAUUAUUGAAAUAUUUGAAAUAAAUUAUGCUUCCAUUUAUAA
rnacentral:lncRNA from 1 species